rnacentral:lncRNA from 1 species
CAGCAGGCCGAACCCAUACUGCGAAUAUCUCUCUAAAGGGGAGUCCGUAACUAUACAGGACGCGGCCCCCCCCACCUUUCGGACCCCACGAGGUCAUCCUGCACCAAUAAUGUAUCCUCAUCAGUUCUUUGGGUUACAGACCAAGCCAAGCGAUGCCAAGCCAGGUUUCUCAAAACUUCCGAGUUGCAGCGGUGCGGUCAAAACAAAACAUAUUUAUUUUUUCAGAUGAUGAUGAUGAUGAUGAUGAUCAUGCAUGCAGCGCCGUGUCCUGUUAGCAAACCUGCUGCUGCUGCUGGUCCCCAGGCCGCCGCAUCAAAGACCGCCGGCGCCAUCAAAGGUCAUCCUGCCGCAGCGGCUGCAUGGCCAGCCUAUCCGCCAAGUGACUGGUGUACCUGCGUUGCAUAACGCAGAAAUUAAGUAAGACUUAUCACUGCUGUCGCUUCGCAGGCUGUUGUGGUGUUGGUGAGUCAUGACACAGAACGCGAUCAUAUUGACCUUGUAAUUUUGACAUGAAUCAGUACAGCGGUAAGCUUAUUGCGUGCUUGUUACUGCGACGCUGGUUGAUAACGUACAUGUGAGCAGCUGCGUCGUCUUCCUCGCCGUCGUCUUCAUAGUUGAAGUCCGAUAUAUCACAGAAUGACCUGAUCAAAAAAUUAUCAAAAGUCAAAGCCUUUCUUGUCUGCGCGUGGGAUAGCUACUGGGCAUCAUGCGGCCCUGUGGUCAUCGCUAAGCCUAAGGCUACCGUUGAUAGCAAGUCGAGUACGUGUGAACACACUUUAUAACUAGACUUCGCCUAGCAUGAAUUGCGAGAUGCGUCGCGAUGUUUGCAUAUUCGUCGCAGAAUCCUAAGACCCACCUUGCAUCCGAAGAUUUCCUUGCUGUGAAAAAUAUUUCCAGCAUUGCCAUCCAUGAGGUGAAUCCCGGCCCAGUUGGCGCGUGCACUUGCAGAGUGCUCGCCAGGGACUGUGGCACCGUGCGUGAUUGUGUGCGGGCCGAGGUCGGCGCUGGCGAGUUCAGGCAGACGACAUGCAAGCGACAGUGACUAGCACUACACCGUAGAAAUUGGGGCUGUUUAGAUGUAGCGCGCAAAGCCGGAGCAGUUAGGCAAGACAUGUUUGCUGCGCUUCUUUAUUACAAGGCUUGGGCGAAGGAGGAGUCAAUGCACCUUUUGAAGACUGUGGCUUCGAUUAUUAAUAAUUUUAAAUAUGAUAUCAAAAAUUGCGCAUGGGCGUUCAUAUACCGUUUCACCGCCUUCCGUUGGCUUCGCC